GAUGAACGCUGGCGGCGUGCCUAAUACAUGCAAGUCGAGCGAAUGGAUUAAGAGCUUGCUCUUAUGAAGUUAGCGGCGGACGGGUGAGUAACACGUGAGUAACCUGCCCAUAAGACUGGGAUAACUCCGGGAAACCGGGGCUAAUACCGGCUAACAUUUUGAACCGCAUGGUUCGAAAUUGAAAGGCGGCGUCGGCUGUCACUUAGGGAUGGACCCGCGUCGCAUUAGCUAGUUGGUGAGGUAACGGCUCACCAAGGCAACGAUGCGUAGCCGACCUGGGAGGGUGAUCGGCCCAACUGGGAAUGAGACACGGCCCCGACUCCUACGGGAGGCAGCAGUAGGGAAUCUUCCGCAAUGGACGAAAGUCUGACGGAGCAACGCCGCGUGAGUGAUGAAGGCUUUCGGGUCGUAAAACCCUGUUGUUAGGGAAGAACAAGUGCUAGUUGAAUAAGCUGGCACCUUGACGGUACCUAACCAGAAAGCCACGGCUAACUACGUGCCAGCCGCCGCCGUAA
rnacentral:rRNA from 1 species